GACGAACGCUGGCGGCGUGCUUAACACAUGCAAGUCGAACGGAAAGGCCCUGCUUUUGUGGGGUGCUCGAGUGGCGAACGGGUGAGUAACACGUGAGUAACCUGCCCUUGACUUUGGGAUAACUUCAGGAAACUGGGGCUAAUACCGGAUAGGAGCUCCUGCUGCAUGGUGGGGGUUGGAAAGUCUCGGCGGUUGGGGAUGGACUCGCGGCUUAUCCGCUUGUUGGUGGGGUAGUGGCUUACCAAGGCUUUGACGGGUAGCCGGCCUGAGAGGGUGACCGGCCACAUUGGGACUGAGAUACGGCCCAGACUCCUACGGGAGGCAGCAGUGGGGAAUAUUGCACAAUGGGCGGAAGCCUGAUGCAGCAACGCCGCGUGCGGGAUGACGGCCUUCGGGUUGUAAACCGCUUUCGCCUGUGACGAAGCGUGAGUGACGGUAAUGGGUAAAGAAGCACCGGCUAACUACGUG
rnacentral:rRNA from 1 species